CGUUUUUCUUCCCCUUCUACAGCGUAGAGAACGCUCCGAUUGGGAAGGAAGUCUGGCGUCCUCGAGCCGACGGCUCGAAACAUGGAGGACUGCUGGAGAUCCUGCGUCCCGAUCAAGAGCGGUCGUGCAAGACCGUCGAAUCACGUCCUCCUCUCGGCUACGCCGCGCCGUAGGCACUGGGUGCAGGAGUACUAUAUUUGCCCAGCCGAUUGGAACGAGGCACCGAUGGAGGCUUAGAAACCAAGGUUGUGAUUGCGAGCUGAACUCACUAAUCUGCUAGUACAAAGCACCAUGAUUCAGGUAUGAUAGACUGUUUUGCCCUCCGGACUCCGGUUAUGUUCUAGUUAGUAGAUUCAGAUAUAUGGAUAGACAUCGAGUAUUCGUACUACACACGUGCACAUAUAAGUUGUUCUUGAAUUCGUGUAUUGUCGAGAAAAUGAAAUUUUAGCUAUCCCCACAGAUUUGUCAAA